GACGAACGCUGGCGGCGUGCUUAACACAUGCAAGUCGAACGAAGAGCGAUGGAAGCUUGCUUCUAUCAAUCUUAGUGGCGAACGGGUAAGUAACGCGUAAUCAACCUGCCCUUCAGAGGGGGACAACAGUUGGAAACGACUGCUAAUACCGCAUACGAUCUAAUCUCGGCAUCGAGGAUAGAUGAAAGGUGGCCUCUACAUGUAAGCUAUCACUGAAGGAGGGGAUUGCGUCUGAUUAGCUAGUUGGAGGGGUAACGGCCCACCAAGGCGAUGAUCAGUAGCCGGUCUGAGAGGAUGAACGGCCACAUUGGGACUGAGACACGGCCCAGACUCCUACGGGAGGCAGCAGUGGGGAAUCUUCCGCAAUAGACGAAAGUCUGACGGAGCAACGCCGCGUGAGUGAUGACGGCCUUCGGGUUGUAAAGCUCUGUUAAUCGGGACGAAAGGCCUUCUUGCGAAUAGUGAGAAGGAUUGACGGUACCGGAAGAGAAAGCCACGGCUAACUACGUG
rnacentral:rRNA from 1 species